AACGAACGCUGGCGGCGUGCCUAACACAUGCAAGUCGAGCGUGAAAGUCCCUUCGGGGGCGAGUAAAGCGGCAGACGGGUGAGUAAUACAUAGGUAAUCUACCUUCGAGAUUGGGAUAACCCCGCGAAAGUGGGGCUAAUACCGGAUAAGACCACGUGACUUACGUUGCGCGGUAAAAGGUGGCUUUUUCUUCGGAUGAGGCUAUCACUUGAGGAUGAGCCUAUGGCCUAUCAGCUUGUUGGCGGGGUAAGAGCCCAGCAAGGCUAUGACGGGUAGUUGGUCUGAGAGGACGACCAACCACACUGGAACUGAGACACGGUCCAGACUCCUACGGGAGGCAGCGGUGGGGAAUAUUGGGGAAUGGGCGAAAGCCUGACCCAGCGACGCCGCGUGGGUGAUGAAGGCCUUCGGGUUGUAAAGCCCUGUUAUGCGGAAAGAACAGUCUCAUGGCUAAUAUCCACGAGAUUUGACGGACCGCAGGAGGAAGCACCGGCUAACUCCGUGCCAGCCGCCGCCGUAA
rnacentral:rRNA from 1 species